rnacentral:rRNA from 1 species
ACACUCCUGCGGGAGGCAGCAGUGAGGAAUAUUGGACAAUGGGUGGAAGCCUGAUCCAGCCAUCCCGCGUGCAGGAAGACGGCCCUAUGGGUUGUAAACUGCUUUUAUCUGGGGAUAAACCUACUUACGUGUAAGUAGCUGAAGGUACCAGAAGAAUAAGCACCGGCUAACUCCGUGCCAGCAGCCGCGGUAAUACGGAGGGUGCAAGCGUUAUCCGGAUUUAUUGGGUUUAAAGGGUCCGUAGGCGGACUGAUAAGUCAGUGGUGAAAUCCGACAGCUUAACUGUCGAACUGCCAUUGAUACUGUUAGUCUUGAGUAAGGUUGAAGUGGCUGGAAUAAGUAGUGUAGCGGUGAAAUGCAUAGAUAUUACUUAGAACACCAAUUGCGAAGGCAGGUCACUAAGUCUUAACUGACGCUGAUGGACGAAAGCGUGGGGAGCGAACAGGAUUAGAAACCCGAGUAGUCCCAU